GCGCCUGUGGCCCAACGGAUAGGGCACUAGCCUCCGGAGCUAGUGAUACAGGUUCGAUUCCUGUCAGGCGCA
rnacentral:tRNA from 1 species